rnacentral:rRNA from 1 species
GACGAACGCUGGCGGCGUGCUUAACACAUGCAAGUCGAACGGAAAGGCCCUGCUUUUGUGGGGUGCUCGAGUGGCGAACGGGUGAGUAACACGUGAGUAACUUGCCCUUGACUUUGGGAUAACUUCAGGAAACUGGGGCUAAUACCGGAUAGGAGCUCCUGCUGCAUGGUGGGGGUUGGAAAGUUUCGGCGGUUGGUGAUGGACUCGCGGCUUAUCAGCUUGUUGGUGGGGUAGUGGCUUACCAAGGCUUUGACGGGUAGCCGGCCUGAGAGGGUGACCGGCCACAUUGGGACUGAGAUACGGCCCAGACUCCUACGGGAGGCAGCAGUGGGGAAUAUUGCACAAUGGGCGGAAGCCUGAUGCAGCAACGCCGCGUGCGGGAUGACGGCCUUCGGGUUGUAAACCGCUUUCGCCUGUGACGAAGCGUGAGUGACGGUAAUGGGUAAAGAAGCACCGGCUAACUACGUG